GACGAACGCUGGCGGCGCGCUUAACACAUGCAAGUCGAACGGAAAGGCCUGCUUUCCCUUGUGGCUUGCGGGUACUCGAGUGGCGAACGGGUGAGUAACACGUGAGUGAUCUGCCCCCAACUUGGGUAUAAGCCUGGGAAACUGGGUCUAAUUCCCGAUAGGACUGCAGGGUGGUGCCUGUGGUGGAAAACGAUCUUCUAGUGGUUGGGGAUGAGCUUGCGGUCUAUUAGCUUGUUGGUGGGGUAAUGGCCUACCAAGGCGGAUACAGGUAGCCGGCGUGGGAGGGUGGACGGGCACAUUCGAACUGGGAGACAGCCCAAACGCAGACGGAAGGCAGCAGUGGGGAAUAAUGCACGAUAGGCUGAAGCCUGAUGCAGCGACGCGGGGUGGGGGAUGACGGCCUUCGAGUUGUAAGCUCCUUUCGACCGCGAGGAAGCCACCUGAUUGGAAGGGUGGUGACGGUAGUGGUAGAAGAAGCACCGGCUAACUACGUG
rnacentral:rRNA from 1 species